AAAAUGAAAAACUUGGCUCUGAUUUACUAGUAUAGCAAGAACUAAAGAAUACACAUGGUUUUUAUUGAAAGAGGCGAGGAUCAAAAAGAUUUAUAGUGAAAAUAUAAAAUUUGAACUGUAUUCUUUUUAUAGUAUUAUAGAUAUAAAAAAUGCUUUGAAAAGUCCCGCUAACACCAGUGGUGAAGGUUAAUAUAAAAGCGAAAGCUUGAAUUAAUUUAGUACAUUUUAGUCUGGUUAACUUGGUGCCAGCAUCCGCGGUUAGACCAAGAGAUUAAGCUAUACAACUAUGGUAAAAAGACAGUUAGGCUUAUAAUAUUAAAGUUUAUUGAUCAUCUAUAUAAAAGUAAAAUUUGGACAUAGAUAGUUAAUUCAGUUAUAACUUGUGUGCUGAAGCUGUGAUAGUUUUGAGGGAAACUGGGAUUGGAUACCCCAUUAUUCAUAACUUUAAAUCUAAUAUAAUCUUACCAGAGUACUAUGAAUAUAAAAAAUUUAAAACUCAAAGGGCUUGGCGGUGUUUUAGACCUAUCAGGGGAACCUGUCUCGUAAUCGAUAAUCCGCGUAAUACCUGACCUUAUCAUGUAAUCAGUUCGUAUACCGUCGUCGUCAGGUAACUUUUAAGAAACUAGAGGUUAGCAUUAAAAAUGAAUCUAAAUUGAUACGUCAGAUCAAGGUGCAACUAAUGAAAAGGAGAGGAUGGGUUACAAUUAUAUUAAUUAUAACUACGGAUAGUUAAAUGAAACAUAGCUUGAAGGAGGACUUGAAAGUAAAAUAAAAUAUAUAAACAAUUUGAAUAAGGCUCUGAAACGUGCACACAUCGCCCGUCGCUCUCGUUGAAAAAUGAGAUAAGUCGUAACAUAGCAGGGGUAAUGGAAAUUGUCCCUAUAU
rnacentral:ncRNA from 1 species